rnacentral:rRNA from 1 species
UGAAAUCUGGCUCUCGGGCCCGAGUUGUAAUUUGUAGAGGAUGCUUUUGGUGAGGUGCCUUCCGAGUUCCCUGGAACGGGACGCCAUAGAGGGUGAGAGCCCCGUCUGGUUGGACACCGACCCUCUGUAAAGCUCCUUCGACGAGUCGAGUAGUUUGGGAAUGCUGCUCUAAAUGGGAGGUAUAUGUCUUCUAAAGCUAAAUAUUGGCCAGAGACCGAUAGCGCACAAGUAGAGUGAUCGAAAGAUGAAAAGCACUUUGAAAAGAGAGUUAAAAAGUACGUGAAAUUGUUGAAAGGGAAGCGCUUGUGACCAGACUUGGGCUUGGUUGAUCAUCCAGGGUUCUCCCUGGUGCACUCUUCCAGCCCAGGCCAGCAUCAGUUUGCCGUGGGGGAUAAAGGCGUCGGGAAUGUGGCUCCCUCCGGGGAGUGUUAUAGCCCGUCGUGUAAUACCCUGGGGCAGACUGAGGUUCGCGCAUCUGCAAGGAU